AGUCGUAACAAGGUUUCCGUAGGUGAACCUGCGGAAGGAUCAUUGUCGUGACCCUUAAACAAAACAGACCGUGAACAUGUCAUCCAUCCUGCACGUGGUUCUACCCGUGCAAGGCCCCCGACCUUUCCGAAGGAGAGGGGCCGCAAAAGAACCCACGGCGCCGAAGGCGUCAAGGAAAACUGAUAUUGCCUUGCUCGGGGCUGUGCUCGGCUUGCCGAGCACACCUCGUGCAGCGAUGCUAUCUUAAUCCACACGACUCUCGGCAACGGAUAUCUCGGCUCUC
rnacentral:misc_RNA from 1 species